GAUAAGUAAUGUGAAUUGCAGAAUUCAGUGAAUCAUCGAAUCUUUGAACGCACCUUGCACUCCUUGGUAUUCCGAGGAGUAUGCCUGUUUGAGUGUCAU
rnacentral:rRNA from 1 species